AGAGUUUGAUCAUGGCUCAGAACGAACGCUGGCGGCGCGCCUAAUACAUGCAAGUCGAGCGAGAAGACGUAGCAAUACGUUUGUAAAGCGGCGAACGGGUGAGGAAUACAUGGGUAACCUACCCUCGAGUGGGGAAUAACUAGCCGAAAGGUUAGCUAAUACCGCAUACGGCUCCUGGUCUGCGGAUCGGGAGAGAAAGCGAUACCAGGGGUAUCGCGCUCUUGGAUGGGCUCAUGUCCUAUCAGCUUGUUGGUGAGGUAAUGGCUCACCAAGGCUUCGACGGGUAGCUGGUCUGAGAGGACGAUCAGCCACACUGGCACUGCGACACGGGCCAGACUCCUACGGGAGGCAGCAGUAAGGAAUAUUGCGCAAUGGGCGACAGCCUGACGCAGCGACGCCGCGUGGGGGAUGAAGGUCUUCGGAUUGUAAACCCCUUUCGGCAGGGAAGAUGGAACGGGUAACCGUUCGGACGGUACCUGCAGAAGCAGCCACGGCUAACUUCGUGCCAGCAGCCGCGGUAAUACGAAGGUGGCAAGCGUUGUUCGGAUUUACUGGGCGUACAGGGAGCGUAGGCGGUUAGGUAAGCCCUCCGUGAAAUCUCCGGGCCUAACCCGGAAAGGGCGGAGGGGACUGCUUGGCUAGAGGAUGGGAGAGGAGCGCGGAAUUCCCGGUGUAGCGGUGAAAUGCGUAGAGAUCGGGAGGAAGGCCGGUGGCGAAGGC
rnacentral:rRNA from 1 species